UUCGUCCUCCUGUGAGUGAUGACCACAGCAUGCUGCCGUUUGGAGAACAUACCAGAUGAUGACCAUCUAGAUAGUUCAGAUGAGGGAUCACACACAUACUACAAUGGGAGAAAGUCAAAGGGACAUAACUGAAGCGCUGCAAGGUAAUUUACCCUCCACAUCCUCAGAAGCUAGGGUGGCAGUGUCUGCCAGUACUGGUCACCAAAACAAGAGUCACAAUCCACGAAAAGCUGGCUAUUGAAUUUCCUGAACAGAAGUUGAAGUACCUUAAGGAGGAGCAAUGAAAAUGAAGAUCCUCCAAGUAGAACUGGAAAUGAAGAUGAAGGAGAUGCAACUGUCUCAAAUAUCACAACAAUGCAUGAAUCUGAAAUAAAAAUUGUUUUAUUAAA